UCCCUGGUAGCUCAGAGGGUAAAGCCUCUGCCUGCAGUGCAUGAGACCCGGGUUCGAUUCCUGGAUAGGGAA
rnacentral:tRNA from 1 species